rnacentral:rRNA from 1 species
AUACGUAGGUGGCAAGCGUUGUCCGGAUUUACUGGGUGUAAAGGGCGUGUAGGCGGAGAUGCAAGUCAGGAGUGCAAUCUAGGGGCUCAACCCCUAAACUGCUUUUGAAACUGUAUCCAUUGCGUAUCGGAGAGGCAGGCGGAAAUCACAGUGAGACGGUGUAAUGCGUAGGUAUUAGGAGGAACACCAGUGGCGAAGGCGGCCUGCUGGACGACAACUGACGCUGAGGCGCGAAAGCGUGGGGAGCAAACAGGAUUAGAUGCCCUGGUAGUCCACACUGUAAACGAUGAAUACUAGGUGUGGGGGGACUGACCCCCUCCGUGCCGCAGUUAACACAAUAAGUAUUCCACCUGGGGAGUACGAUCGCAAGAUUGAAACUCAAAGGAAUUGACGGGG